GACGAACGCUGGCGGCGUGCUUAACACAUGCAAGUCGAACGGAAAGGCCCUGCUUUUGUGGGGUGCUCGAGUGGCGAACGGGUGAGUAACACGUGAGUAACCUGCCCUUGACUUUGGGAUAACUUCAGGAAACUGGGGCUAAUACCGGAUAUGAUCUCCUGCUGCAUGGUGGGGGUUGGUAAGUUUCGGCGGUUGGGGAUGGACUCGCGGCUUAUCAGCUUGUUUGUGGGGUAGUGGCUUACCAAGGCUUUGACGGGUAGCCGGCCUGAGAGGGUGACCGGCCACAUUGGGACUGAGAUACGGCCCAGACUCCUACGGGAGGCAGCAGUGGGGAAUAUUGCACAAUGGGCGGAAGCCUGAUGCAGCAACGCCGCGUGCGGGAUGACGGCCUUCGGGUUGUAAACCGAUUUCGCCUGUGACGAAGCGUGAGUGACGGUAAUGGGUAAAGAAGCACCGGCUAACUACGUG
rnacentral:rRNA from 1 species